UGAGUGCUUCCAUUAUGGCUGCUACACGGAGAAAGGUUGUCUUGCUUCAAAUGCAAGCUAGAAUUUAUUUAAUCUCUUAAUCUUGAAACAAGCAGAAAACUGAGCAAUAUAGAAUUUCAUCUGGAAACUGGGAUUAUCUGUGAGGCUCCCAUCCUUGAAUCUCCAGCAGAUAAGGAUCCAAGAUGCAUAAACGUGCAGAGAUUACAAAAGUGGAAAUUACGUGCAGGGUACAUAAAUUUGAUAUAAUUGUAAUGUUUCCAUUUUGCAUGGGCCUUCAUUUCUGUUACUAAUUAUCUAUUGAUAUUCUGAACUUUGAACUGCAAUUUCUAGUCCAGAAGUUAGGGGAAACAGGGAAAUUUUUUUUUUCUUUAUCAAUUUUAUUGUGGUGACAGAAUGAGCGGCCUCCUUUGCCAGCAAGUUGUCAGCCUGCACUCGCACACCUGAUAAAGCGUUGCUGGGCAGCAA
rnacentral:misc_RNA from 1 species